rnacentral:rRNA from 1 species
UACGUAGGGUGCAAGCGUUAAUCGGAAUUACUGGGCGUAAAGCGUGCGCAGGCGGUUUUGUAAGUCUGAUGUGAAAUCCCCGGGCUCAACCGGGGAAUUGCAUUGGAGACUGCAAGGCUAGAAUCUGGCAGAGGGGGGUAGAAUUCCACGUGUAGCAGUGAAAUGCGUAGAGAUGUGGAGGAACACCGAUGGCGAAGGCAGCCCCCUGGGUCAAGAUUGACGCUCAUGCACGAAAGCGUGGGGAGCAAACAGG